rnacentral:snoRNA from 1 species
CACCACUUGUCAAACACUCUGGCCCUUACCCCUUUCCCUCGCGGAUCGGUAGCAUCCAUGGUCUGGGCCUAUUUUUGAAGCAAGGAGAUCAAAUCAUGUCCGAUUACUCACCGCGGCGUCCUCCUUCAAGCGUGGACGUAGCGGUCCAUAUCUUUUGGACAACAU